AGAGAAGGGACGUGCGCCUUGGAGGAGUCUAAGGCACACCCCUACCCCCACCCCGCCCUUGCCUUAAGGUGAGUUCCCUUGUCUCCAUUAACCCUUGGAAAACUAUUCCCUUCAGCACCUGGGACAGGGCAGCGCCUCCAAUUAGGGACAAUGUCAAGCUUUGCCUCCUGGACAUUGGAUGGCGAGUCGUGAAGCAUGCUAAUUAGGUCGUCCAGGGGCGGGGUUAGGGAGUGGUUAGGGAGUGGUCAGUUCUUAAAGGAACAUGGAAUUUUUGUACUUAAGUGUAUUUGCGUUUUACCCAGAAUUCACAGCGAGAAGGGGGAGGGGCUACUGAAGGGUGUGUUUUUAGAUCUGCGACUGUCACCAAGGAACUAAGGGUCAGGAAGGACCCUGCUGUCUGCUAACAGUCAGUGUCCUGUUACACAAGAUAGCCACAGGAGAGGACAUAUAGCUUGACGUCUGCAAUGUAUACGGUAACCGAGGGAGUCAGUAGAGAUAGUCCUGUUCAUGCAAGGGAAAUUCUAUAGAGGAUUGAAUCUCCAAUAGCAUCUGAUCCUCCUAAAGGAACUGGAAACAGAGUGGAAACUUUUGAAAAAGUAACAAGACCAGAUAAUCCUGUAUGUCAGAUGUAAAUAAUUCUAAUGAGACUCUUGGUUUCUUUCUUUGUUUUCCCUCAUUCUGACACUACUUCUGAUUAUUUUGUUGCUCCUUAUAUUUGGGCUCUGCAUAUUGAACUUGCUUGUCAGAUUUUUGUCUUCCAGACUACAGGCCAUUUACCUACAGAUGGUGGCGACCAGUGGAUACCAGCCCAUGUCCACUCCCCAUCCCUUGGACUUGGCUUAUGCUCACUUCAGUCAACCUCCCUCCCCAGGACCCCAAGAGGCAGGGACAGCUCUACACCCCUUGUCAGCAGGAAGCAGUUCCAGAAGCCAAGACCUUCUCCCUUUGCUCCAAAAGAUUUUGGGUACCAUUUGUUUGAGGGGGGAAGGAUGGAGUGAUGGGACCUGGAUCCCAAACAAAAAGACUAUGUCUCUGGAAGCAACCCAGUGUCUCAUUGGGUUCCUUUGAGAAAUUCUUUCCUUGUUGCAACCACAUACAGACCUGACCAUGUAAUUACUCAGGUAAAAACUAUCAGUGCAGGCACAGAGGUGAUUACUCAAGGGUCUUGUCCCUAGCGCCUGGUCUCUAAGGACCAUGCCUCUGGCAAGCAUUUGUGUAAACAGAACUACCCUCUCUCUUCUCCUCCAAUGUCUGGUAUCAACAGAGUUAUCUCUGUUGACUCCCUGAAUUUUCCCACACAUUCUAGAAGUGCACCUAUGCCCAAGGCAACUGGACUUCUUGCUUAUUCCUUUGAAUACUGAGGACUCCUUAAUCCCACCCUAUACCACCUAAUUAGCAUACUUGGCACACCAGUCACUGUUCUCUUUCUAUAUAAGCUUUAGCAUCACUCUUGUUGGGUUGCAGGUUCCCUAAGAACUAUGCUGGCUGUAUCAGUGUUACAAUAAAACUUUUGAAUUUGACUGGAAGAUGGUUUGAGUAUGUGAAUUCAUUCCAGGCCACACAGCCCUGUAUCCUGACAUUAUGGGGGUAUCAGCACCCCCAGAUCAUGUCAGUACCAUUUUCAGUUAAUACACUAUCUUCCUUUUCUUCAUUCUUUGUUUCUGUUGAUUUUUCCUAUAAUUAAUGAGAAUGAAAUGUAUAAUGUCCUCCAAAAAUUGUCUUUAAUGUAUUGCUAGCAUAAAUAAUGCAAACCUAUUUAACGUACUAUAAUUGCCAUAUGUUGAUGGUCCUAACAAUGAAAUCAUGCAAAGAAUUAAAUUUUUCCAGUCACUUAUUUUAGACAUUUGAUUUGUAGAAAAAUUCUCCAUAACUAGAAAUAUUAAUUUAUAGUAUUACAUAUGCUGAUGAAUGUUUUAAUUCUUCCACAAAUUGAAAUAGUAGGAACUGAGAAAAAUGAUAGAAUAAAUAGUUCUUAUCCUCGUGAUAAUCUUGUAGAGAAGAUAAGCUACCCUCUGAUUGGAGAGGAGAGCUGUGAACUCCAAAAACUCCAUUGAAGGAGGGAGGCCAGGACAGACAUCUCAUUUCUCACCACAGCUUUGGGAGUUCUCCACCAGGCCCCAGGAAUAUUAUGAUUGGGAAAAUCUCAUCGUCCUGUGAGAUUCCAUCACCUUGGUAGGCCACCUAACUACUAUCCAAGACCCCCAUGACUGGAGGAAGAGCCAGGAAUUUCAAAGCCUUCAUUGAAGGAGAGGGCUUAGCACAGACAUCUCAUUUCUCACUUUUCUGCCCUGUUAGGGAGUUCUCUUAACUUUUCUCCAGUCCUCAGCACCAGGUAGCUGCCCUAACCUCCAAAUUAUUGAUUUCCUUUGGUGUGCAUUGUCUUCCUCCAUUAGAUUGUAAGCUGCUUGAGAGCAGGGACUAUCUGUUUUAUAUUUAUAUCUCUGGCACUUGGCACACUGCCUGGCACAUAGUAGGUACUUAAUGUUUACUAAGAUAUAAAUGUGAGAGAAAGAAGAAUCUGAAAUGUAUUAGAGAAUGACAAAGACUACAGAGUCAGUGAAAGCUUUAUAUAGGUGGUAUCGUUUCAUUUGGGCCUUGAAAGAUAGCUAGAAUUUCAGAUGGCAAAAAGAGGGCAAGGAAGAUAUUCCAAACACAGGGAAGAGUGGAAGGAAAGGUAUUGAGGGAGGAAAAGUUCAAGGUACAUUCAGGAAAUGAUGGGUAACCUAGCUUCCUGAAACAGAGAUGUAUGAAGAGGAAAUCUAUUUUACUUUAGUUUCAUUUAAAAUGUGAAUAUUCUACUUCAAGUAGAUUGAUUAAUAACAUUGUCAAUUUUUAAACUGACUUUGUCAAAAGCUAUGAGAAAUUAAAAUUUUUUGUGGAUGCCUUUGAUCCAUAAAUUAUACAGUAUAUGAUGGCUGGGACUGAGUCUUCUUUGUUUCCAAAUUUCAUGUAACAAAAUGCCUUGCAUAUAAUACAUAUUUUAUAAAUGUGAAAUAAAGUGUUGAACUUAA